GACGAACGCUGGCGGCGUGCUUAACACAUGCAAGUCGAACGGAAAGGCCCUGCUCUUGUGGGGUGCUCGAGUGGCGAACGGGUGAGUAACACGUGAGUAACCUGCCCUUGACUUUGGGAUAACUUCAGGAAACUGGGGCUAAUACCGGAUAGGAGCUCCUGCUGCAUGGUGGGGGUUGGAAAGUUUCGGCGGUUGGGGAUGGACUCGCGGCUUAUCAGCUUGUUGGUGGGGUAGUGGCUUACCAAGGCUUUGACGGGUAGCCGGCCUGAGAGGGUGACCGGCCACAUUGGGACUGAGAUACGGCCCAGACUCGUACGGGAGGCAGCGGUGGGAAAUAUUGCACAAUGGGCGGAAGCCUGAUACAGCAACGCCGCGUGCGGGAUGACGGCCUUCGGGUUGUAAACCGCUUUCGCCUGUGACGAAGCGUGAGUGACGGUAAUGGGUAAGAAAGCACCGGCUAACUACGUG
rnacentral:rRNA from 1 species